rnacentral:lncRNA from 1 species
GUCCAGUAUAGGAGACACCAGCCACAUGUGGCUAUUUAAAUUUAAAUUCAUUAAAAUGAAAUAGAAUUAAACAUUCAGUUUCCCGGUUGCAUUUGUCACAGGUCAAACGCUCAGAGCCAUAUGUGGCUCGAGGCUGCCAUGUUGCACAGUGCAAAUCCACAGAGCGUUUCAUCCAAUGGUAUUGCCCUUGAAGGUGGGCAUUCCACAGCCCGCGGCCCUGACGAGGGAAAUGCACAGAGCCUCCUCCUGACCCGCAGCGCACAUGUGAGGAUUCCAAAUAAAGUUGCAGACUCCAUGUUCUUAGGGGAAGAGAGCGUAACUCCCGCUGCUUAAGUGAAGCCCAUGCAUAGUGACUUUGCUCCAGUGAGUCUGGAAAGCGGGACAAGGGAGUAACUUUCCUGUGGAGAAACCUGGCAGAGGCCACGACCGCCAGAUCAUCAGAAAAACCCCAACUGAGAGAAAUUCUACAGCAUGCCUG